GACGAACGCUGGCGGCGUGCUUAACACAUGCAAGUCGAGCGGUAAGGCCUUUCGUGGUACGCGAGCGGCGAACGGGUGAGUAACACGUGGGUGAUCUGCCCUGCACUUCGGGAUAAGCCUGGGAAACUGGGUCUAAUACCGGAUAUGACCUCCUAUCGCAUGGUGGGUGGUGGAAAGAUUUAUCGGUGCAGGAUGGGCCCGCGGCCUAUCAGCUUGUUGGUGGGGUAAUGGCCUACCAAGGCGACGACGGGUAGCCGACCUGAGAGGGUGACCGGCCACACUGGGACUGAGACACGGCCCAGACUCCUACGGGAGGCAGCAGUGGGGAAUAUUGCACAAUGGGCGAAAGCCUGAUGCAGCGACGCCGCGUGAGGGAUGACGGCCUUCGGGUUGUAAACCUCUUUCAGCAGGGACGAAGCGAAAGUGACGGUACCUGCAGAAGAAGCACCGGCUAACUACGUG
rnacentral:rRNA from 1 species